ensembl:lncRNA
UUAAAUCAUGUUUUAAAAUCAACUAUGUAUCAAAUAAAAAUAUCAUAUAUUAAAAUCCAAAAAAUAAAACGUAUAUCGUGUUGUUUGUAAGCAUCUCAUUUGCAUCUCUUUUGCUGGCUCUCUCUCUCUCUCUCUCUCUCUCUCUCUCACACACACACACACACACACACACACACACACACUGACUGCUGAGAGGGAGAAACAGGUCGCGGCAUCAGCUCUCACAAACUCUUUAAACUUUAAACGCUUGACCCGCGCGCGGAGGAGCGGAACCCUUGACGCCGCCCGGAGCAGCAGCUUCCAGUGAAACAUCUGCUAGUCUUUGACUCUUUGUUCACUCUUAAAAGAAUGGUUCAUCCAAAAAUGAACAUCUGCUGAAAAUGUACUUAUCCCCAGGCCAUCCAAGAUGAUGAGUGUGUUUCUUCUUCGGAUUUGGAGAAAUGCCUUCCAUCACUUGCUCAG